rnacentral:piRNA from 1 species
CCCCACGGGACUCAGCAGUGAUAA